GACGAACGCUGGCGGCGUGCUUAACACAUGCAAGUCGAACGGAAAGGCCCUGCUUUUGUGGGGUGCUCGAGUGGCGAACGGGUGAGUAACACGUGAGUAACCUGCCCUUGACUUUGGGAUAACUUCAGGAAACUGGGGCUAAUACCGGAUAGGAGCUCCUGCUGCAUGGUGGGGGUUGGAAAGUUUCGGCGGUUGGGGAUGGACUCGCGGCUUAUCAGCUUGUUGGUGGGGUAGUGGCUUACCAAGGCUUUGACGGGUAGCCGGCCUGAGAGGGUGACCGGCCACAUUGGGACUGAGAUACGGCCCAGACUCCUACGGGAGGCAGCAGUGGGGAAUAUUGCGCAAUGGGCGGAAGCCUGAUGCAGCAACGCCGCGUGCGGGAUGACGGCCUUCGGGUUGUAAACCGCUUUCGCCUGUGACGAAGCGUGAGUGACGGUAAUUGGUAAAGAAGCACCGGCUAACUACGUG
rnacentral:rRNA from 1 species